rnacentral:rRNA from 1 species
UUAAAUUGAAGAGUUUGAUCAUGGCUCAGAUUGAACGCUGGCGGCAGGCCUAACACAUGCAAGUCGAACGGUAACAGGAAUCAGCUUGCUGAUUUGCUGACGAGUGGCGGACGGGUGAGUAAUGUCUGGGAAACUGCCUGAUGGAGGGGGAUAACUACUGGAAACGGUAGCUAAUACCGCAUAACGUCGCAAGACCAAAGAGGGGGACCUUCGGGCCUCUUGCCAUCGGAUGUGCCCAGAUGGGAUUAG